rnacentral:tRNA from 1 species
AGGAGUAUAUCUCAGUGGUAGAGCGUUUGACUGAAGAUCAAGAGAUCCCCGGUUCGAAUCCGGGUGUUUUCA